ensembl:snoRNA SNORD72 small nucleolar RNA SNORD72
GGCUGACCUAUGAUGUGUCAAAAAUAAAUGUCUGAACAAAUGACAUUCCAGUGAUAUAAACCUUACGCUGAGGAAAGCC